rnacentral:lncRNA from 1 species
ACAGGCAGUGCGCCCAACAGCCCCAUGGCGCUGCUCACCAUCGGGUCCAGCUCAGAGAAGGAGAUUGAUGAUGUCAUUGAUGAGAUCAUCAGCCUGGAGUCCAGUUACAAUGAUGAAAUGCUCAGCUAUCUGCCCGGAGGCACCACAGGACUGCAGCUCCCCAGCACGGCUGGAGCGCAAUGGUGCUAUCUCGGCUCACUGGAACCUCCGCCUACCAAGUUCAAGCGAUUCUCUUGCCUCAGCCUCCUGAGUAACUGGGACUACAGGCGCGUGCCCCCAUGCCCGGCUAAUUUUUGUAUUUUUAGUAGAGACGGGGUUUCACCGUGUUACCCAGGUUAUCUCAAUCUCCUGACUUUGUGAUCUGCCUGCCUCGGCCUCCCAAAGUGCUGGGAUUACAGGCAUGAGCCACCAUGCCUGGCCUAACUUGCUUUAUUUAUUUAUUUAUUUAUUUUUUAUUGAAUUUUUUUUUUUUUUUUGAGAUGGAGUUUCACUCUCCUUGUCCAGGCUGGAAUGCAAUGUGCGAUCUCUGCUCAUUGCACCCUCUGCCUCCUGGGUUCAAGCAAUUCUCCUGCCUCAGCCUCCCAAGUAGCCGAGAUUACAGGUGCCCGCCAGCACGCCUGGCUAAUUUUUGUAUUUUAGUAGAGACGGGG